rnacentral:misc_RNA from 1 species
AAAAAAACAAAAUUGUAUAUAAGCAAGCAAAAUAAUUUGUCUGCUCUCUCCGCAUAAUCGGCAUACUCCUACUAUGCAUUUCACUCACAACACAAGUUAGCAAGAGGAGAUUGGAUCAACCAGUAUUAUACUAAUUGAACUAUUCCAAAUCCUCUUUUGGUUUUUCAGAAUCUUCCUUCGGUUUUUUAGAGGCUGGCCCAUCAUCUCUAUUUUUCAUUUUUGCUUCACGACGUUCUCUCUUCACUCCCUUCGAUUUGUUGGGUAUAGCCAUCUCUCCAACCUUUUGAUCAGGAAUAUAUAUCCUUCCGAUCUUGCCCUGAAUAAGAUCCUUGCUAACAUUUUUCUCCUUCUUCUUAGUCUGAUCCUUAGCUGUUUUCAUGGCUUCUUUUCUUAGGCCAUCAGUAGGAAGUCGG